rnacentral:misc_RNA from 1 species
GAUGAAGAACGCAGCAAAGUGCGAUAAGUAGUGUGAAUUGCAGAAUUCCGUGGAUCAUCGAAUUUUUGAACGCAAAUUGCACUCUCUGGUAUUCCGGAGAGUAUGCCUGUUUGAGGGUCAUUAAAAUCAAAAUCGAUUUGUUAUUUUGGUGACAUGUCGGAAUUGGGUCAUCUUAAACCUUUAGGUUCAAGAGGCUUAAAAUUGAUCGUCAUUGGUAUGACUUAAGCGUAUUUAAGAUCUCUUAUCACGCGCUUGAUGAGUAUCGGAUGUUUAUUAGGCAUGACCAUGAUCAUGGUUUUGCGCCUAUAAUUUUCAUGAAAUGACCUCAAAUCAGGUAGGAUUACCCGCUGAACUUAAGCAUAUCAAUAAGCGGAGGA